UACGGGGGGGGCAAGCGUUGUUCGGAAUUACUGGGCGUAAAGGGCUCGUAGGCGGCCAACUAAGUCGGACGUGAAAUCCCUCGGCUUAACCGGGGAACUGCGUCCGAUACUGGAUGGCUUGAGUUUGGGAGAGGGAUGCGGAAUUCCAGGUGUAGCGGUGAAAUGCGUAGAUAUCGAGAGGAACACCUGCGGCGAAGGCGGGUAGCUGGGCCGACACUGACGCUGAGACGCGAAAGCGUGGGGGAGCGAACAGG
rnacentral:rRNA from 1 species